GACGUAGGGGGCAAGCGUUGUCCGGAAUUAUUGGGCGUAAAGCGCUCGUAGGCGGAUCGGUAAGUCUGUGAAGAAAGACCCGGGCUCAACUCGGGGAACGGCAUAGAUACUGCUGAUCUUGAGACAGUCAGAGGAUGAUGGAAUUCCAGGUGUAGAGGUGAAAUUCGUAGAUAUUCGGAGGAACACCAGUGGCGAAGGCGGCUCACUGGUCCGGAACUGACGCUGAGGUGCGAAAGCGUGGGGAGCAAACAGG
rnacentral:rRNA from 1 species